GGGGCAUCAGUUUGGUUUGCUUGCAAACCAAAGCUGGCGACCGGCGCACGGGUGAGUAACACGUAUCCAACCUGCCUCAUACUCGGGGAUAGCCUUUCGAAAGAAAGAUUAAUAUCCGAUAGCAUAUAUUUCCCGCAUGGGUUUUAUAUUAAAGAAAUUCGGUAUGAGAUGGGGAUGCGUUCCAUUAGUUUGUUGGGGGGGUAACGGCCCACCAAGACUACGAUGGAUAGGGGUUCUGAGAGGAAGGUCCCCCACAUUGGAACUGAGACACGGUCCAAACUCCUACGGGAGGCAGCAGUGAGGAAUAUUGGUCAAUGGACGCGAGUCUGAACCAGCCAAGUAGCGUGAAGGAUGACUGCCCUAUGGGUUGUAAACUUCUUUUAUAUGGGAAUAAAGUUGUCCACGUGUGGAUUUUUGUAUGUACCAUAUGAAUAAGGAUCGGCUAACUCCGUGCCAGCAGCCGCGGUAAUACGGAGGAUCCGAGCGUUAUCCGGAUUUAUUGGGUUUAAAGGGAGCGUAGGCGGAUUGUUAAGUCAGUUGUGAAAGUUUGCGGCUCAACCGUAAAAUUGCAGUUGAUACUGGAUGUCUUGAGUGCAGUUGAGGCAGGCGGAAUUCGUGGUGUAGCGGUGAAAUGCUUAGAUAUCACGAAGACUCCGAUUGCGAAGGCAGC
rnacentral:rRNA from 1 species